CAGUAGCCACGGGAAUACGAGGGGAGCUAGCGUUAUUCGGAAUUACUGGGCGUAAGGCGCACGUAGGCGGCUUUGUAAGUUAGAGGUGAAGGCCCAGAGCUCAACUCUGGAAUUGCCUUUAAGACUGCAUCGCUUGAAUCCAGGAGAGGUGAGUGGAAUUCCGAGUGUAGAGGUGAAAUUCGUAGAUAUUCGGGAGAACACCAGUGGCGAAGGCGGCUCACUGGACUGGUAUUGACGCUGAGGUGCGAAAGCGUGGGGAGCAAACAGGAUUAGAGACCCCUGUAGUCCCUGUCUCUUAUAC
rnacentral:rRNA from 1 species